rnacentral:lncRNA from 1 species
ACUCCAAUCCCCUAGAACAAUGCACUCCUCCUCAUCGACAAAAUUCGAGGAAGGAGAAAUGAUGUCAUUCUCCUUCAAGUUCAUCCAAGGAAGAUUCUACUUCAAGGUAUUCUCAAUGCCAUGGCAAGCCCCGAUGAUCGGAUGAUUACAAUCGUAAGUUACCAGAGAUCUACUAUCAAUGUGCUGAGCUCCAAGAGGACAAUAGGGGCCCAUCAGAUGGCCUUGGAUUUAACACCCAACCUCCUUUCUCUCGA